UCUUAGUGGCGCAGCUAACGCACUAAGUUGACCGCCUGGGGAGUACGGCCGCAAGGUUAAAACUCAAAUGAAUUGACGGGGGCCCGCACAAGCGGUGGAGCAUGUGGUUUAAUUCGACGCAACGCGAAGAACCUUACCUGGCCUUGACAUCCAGAGAACUUUCCAGAGAUGGAUUGGUGCCUUCGGGAACUCUGUGACAGGUGCUGCAUGGCCGUCGUCAGCUCGUGUCGUGAGAUGUUGGGUUAAGUCCCGUAACGAGCGCAACCCCUAUCCCUGGUUGCUAGCAGGUAAUGCUGAGAACUCCAGGGAGACUGCCGGUGACAAACCGGAGGAAGGUGGGGAUGACGUCAGGUCAUCAUGGCCCUUACGGCCAGGGCUACACACGUGCUACAAUGGUGCGUACAGAGGGCUGCAAACUCGCGAGAGUAAGCCAAUCCCUUAAAACGCAUCGUAGUCCGGAUCGGAGUCUGCAACUCGACUCCGUGAAGUCGGAAUCGCUAGUAAUCGCGAAUCAGAAUGUCGCGGUGAAUACGUUCCCGGGCCUUGUACACACCGCCCGUCACACCAUGGGAGUGGAUUGCACCAGAAGUGGUUAGUCUAACCUUCGGGGGGACGAUCACCACGGUGUGGUUCAUGACUGGGGUG
rnacentral:rRNA from 1 species